GACGAACGCUGGCGGCGUGCUUAACACAUGCAAGUCGAACGGGAUCCAAAGGCUUUUUGUUUUUGGUGAGAGUGGCGAACGGGUGAGUAACACGUGAGUAACCUGCCCCCUUCUUUUGGAUAACCGCAUGAAAGUGUGGCUAAUACAGGAUAUUCCAGGCUGGUCGCAUGAUUGGUUUGGGAAAUGGUUUGGUCUGGUGGGGGAUGGGCUCGCGGCCUAUCAGCUUGUUGGUGGGGUGAUGGCCUACCAAGGCGGUGACGGGUAGCCGGCCUGGGAGGGUGGGCGGUCACACUGGGACUGAGAUACGGCCCAGACUCCUACGGGAGGCAGCAGUGGGGGAUUUUGCACAAUGGGCGCAAGCCUGAUGCAGCGACGCCGCGUGAGGGAUGAAGGCCUUCGGGUUGUAAACCUCUUUCGCUGGGUUGAAAGGCCAUGCUUUGGGUGUGGUUGAUUGGAACUGGUAAAGAAGUACCGGCUAACUACGUG
rnacentral:rRNA from 1 species